GGAUGAACGCCGGCGGUGUGCCUAAUACAUGCAAGUCGAACGCGUUGGCCCAAUUGAUUGAUGGUGUUUGCACCUGAUUGAUUUUGGUCGCCAACGAGUGGCGGACGGGUGAGUAACACGUAGGUAACCUGCCCAGAAGCGGGGGACAACAUUUGGAAACAGAUGCUAAUACCGCAUAACAACAUUGUUCGCAUUAACAACGCUUGAAAGAUGGCUUCUCGCUAUCACUUCUGGAUGGACCUGCGGUGCAUUAGCUUGUUGGUGGGGUAAUGGCCUACCAAGGCGAUGAUGCAUAGCCGAGUUGAGAGACUGAUCGGCCACAAUGGGACUGAGACACGGCCCAUACUCCUACGGGAGGCAGCAGUAGGGAAUCUUCCACAAUGGGCGCAAGCCUGAUGGAGCAACACCGCGUGAGUGAAGAAGGGUUUCGGCCCGUAAAGCUCUGUUGUUAAAGAAGAACACGUAUGAGAGUAACUACUCAUACGUUGACGGUAUUUAACCAGAAAGUCACGGCUAACUACGUGCCAGCAGCCGCGGUAAUACGUAGGUGGCAAGCGUUAUCCGGAUUUAUUGGGCGUAAAGAGAGUGCAGGCGGUUUUCUAAGUCUGAUGUGAAAGCCUUCGGCUUAACCCGGAGAAGUGCAUCGGAACUGGAUAACUUGAGUGCAGAGAGGGUAGUGGAACUCCAUGUGUAGCCGUGGAAUGCGUAGAUAUAUGGAAGAACACCAGUGGCGAAGGCGGCUACCUGGUCUGCAACUGACGCUGAGACUCGAGAGCAUGGGUAGCGAACAGGAUUAGAUACCCUGGUAGUCCAUGCCGUAAACGAUGAGUGCUAGGUGUUGGAGGGUUUCCGCCCUUCAGUGCCGGAGCUAACGCAUUAAGCACUCCGCCUGGGGAGUACGACCGCAAGGUUGAAACUCAAAGGAAUUGACGGGGGCCCGCACAAGCGGUGGAGCAUGUGGUUUAAUUCGAAGCUACGCGAAGAACCUUACCAGGUCUUGACAUCUUGCGCCAACCCUAGAGAUAGGGCGUUUCCUUCGGGAACGCAAUGACAGGUGGUGCAUGGUCGUCGUCAGCUCGUGUCGUGAGAUGUUGGGUUAAGUCCCGCAACGAGCGCAACCCUUGUUACUAGUUGCCAGCAUUAAGUUGGGCACUCUAGUGAGACUGCCGGUGACAAACCGGAGGAAGGUGGGGACGACGUCAGAUCAUCAUGCCCCUUAUGACCUGGGCUACACACGUGCUACAAUGGACGGUACAACGAGUCGCGAACUCGCGAGGGCAAGCAAAUCUCUUAAAACCGUUCUCAGUUCGGACUGCAGGCUGCAACUCGCCUGCACGAAGUCGGAAUCGCUAGUAAUCGCGGAUCAGCAUGCCGCGGUGAAUACGUUCCCGGGCCUUG
rnacentral:rRNA from 1 species